GCUCCUGCCGACUUCCAGGGCGGCGCGGGGGAAAGGGGGGGUGGGCUCCUCCAGCUCACCGGUCACGCGGGGGCGCGGGGCAGAGGCGGCAGCCCAGGGCAUCUGCUGCCCAGGAGCCGAGGCCAACCCGCUCGGCCCCACCCCUCGGAACAAGGCCCGCCCGCCGGCCGCAGCCCGGCUCCUGUUCUAGGCCUGCUUCUCGCGGGGCCUGCUCCUGGGAGGCGAAGCGCCACACUGAGGACGCGGAGGUGGUUUCAGACCGCAGCGCCCGGGGCUCCUCCUCCCGCGCUACCCAGGGAGGCGGGCUGUGCUCUUUUCAAGGUCCCGCCAAAGGGCCCCGCCAUCGCGGAGGGAGACCUUCACAGCAAUUCCCUCCUACACUAGGCCGGGAACCGCCAGACCGGAAGCUGCGGGGUCUCAGGGCCCCGGCUCGUUCUCGCCUAGCAGCAAGCCGCGGGUGCGCAUGCUCCGCGAAGGCCCGCACAGAGCCCGGGUGAACCCUGAUAGAGCCAUCACGAGGCGGGGUUAUUGCUGGAAUGGUGGUGGUUUGGGGAACUCUUUUUUGGUGAGAUGGUGAAGUGGGAAGGUGCACCGCGUUUCCAGUGGGCUCCCACUUGGUGCUGGCUUGGCUUCUUGGAAAGAGAGUGAAAAGUCAGAGCCUCAGAGCUGCCACUGAACUCCACAGCCUUCACCUUGCCUCUUCCUGUUUGGAGGACCCAGAUCCAGUUAGCGCAGUCCUGCUUCCCAACUAGGAGCCCGUCCACUGAGUGAUGAAACUGAGACUCAGAGAGGACAAGUGAUCAUCCCAAGGUCACCCUUCCAGGAAGUGGCAGCAUCAGGACCAGGGCCCCAGCCUGAGUUUAAGUCACACACUUCUUCCUGCUGCCAAGAUUCUCAUCCACAGAAGAGAGAACAAGAGGUUUCCCUGCUGGGGGCUUCCCCGGUGGCGCCGUGGUUAAGAAUCUGCCUGCCAAUGCAGGGGACACGGGUUCGA